rnacentral:misc_RNA from 1 species
UGUGUGUGUGUGUGUGUGUGGGUGGGUGUGUGUCUGUGUCUCAUCACAUCCCUCUCUGCUAAACCCACAAACCAUCAAAAUUACGUCCCCUCUCUAUCUCUCUCAACUCAACACCAAUGGUCCUAAUUUUUCUUUCAAUUCAGUCUUCACCAAUCUACCUUUUUCUUAUUUUUUGUGUUCAUUGCUAUAUCUUCAGCCAAUUUGUGAUUAAGACUAGUCAUUUUUGUUUGUUGUUGCCAUAUCUUUACCCGCAUUUAUGUCCUUAGUGAAAACCACCAAAUGGCCGCUCUCAUCAAUUUUUUCCUAUCUUCUCUACUUGUGUUGAUACUUGCAGUGACUGGCUUGACUGGCUUGUUCCUGAUCAAAGUAAGAAUCAAAGACUUUUUGGGAAGAUGUUAAAUUGGCAUGUAUGUCAAGACUCAAGAUUAAUAUUACAGAGAAAGAGAGGUUGAAGUUCAAUGGCAGCGAGUGAUCAAUGGUAGUGAUGAUGAGAGAGAG